GUGCCAGCCGCCGCGGUAAUACAGAGGGUGCAAGCGUUAAUCGGAAUUACUGGGCGUAAAGCGCGCGUAGGCGGCUGAUUAAGUCGGAUGUGAAAGCCCCGGGCUCAACCUGGGAACUGCAUUCGAUACUGAUCGGCUAGAGUAUGAGAGAGGGAGGUAGAAUUCCACGUGUAGCGGUGAAAUGCGUAGAUAUGUGGAGGAAUACCGGUGGCGAAGGCGGCCUCCUGGUUCAAUACUGACGCUGAGGUGCGAAAGCGUGGGGAGCAAACAGGAUUAGAAACCCGUGUAGUCC
rnacentral:rRNA from 1 species